CCUACGGGGGACAGCAGUGAGGAAUAUUGGUCAAUGGUCGGGAGACUGAACCAGCCAAGCCGCGUGAGGGAUGAAGGUACAGAGUAUCGUAAACCUCUUUUGUCAGGGAACAAAGGCGGGGACGUGUCCCCGGAUGAGUGUACCUGAAGAAAAAGCAUCGGCUAACUCCGUGCCAGCAGCCGCGGUAAUACGGAGGAUGCGAGCGGUAUCCGGAUUUAUUGGGUGAAAGGGGUGCGCAGGCGGUCUGUUAAGUCAGCGGUCAAAGCCCGGGGCUCAACCCCGGCCCGCCGUUGAAACUGGCAGUCGCGAGUUGGAGAGAAGUAUGCGGAAUGCGCGGUGUAGCGGUGAAAUGCAUAGAUAUCGCGCAGAACUCCGAUUGCGAAGGCAGCAUGCCGGCUCCACACUGACGCUGAGGCACGAAAGCGUGGGUAUCGAACAGGAUUAGAUACCCGGGUAGUC
rnacentral:rRNA from 1 species